CGACCGGCGCACGGGUGAGUAACACGUAUCCAACCUGCCGAUGACUCGGGGAUAGCCUUUCGAAAGAAAGAUUAAUACCCGAUGGCAUAGUUCUUCCGCAUGGUAGAACUAUUAAAGAAUUUCGGUCAUCGAUGGAGAUGCGUUCCAUUAGCUUGUUGGCGGGGUAACGGCCCACCAAGGCAUCGAUGGAUAAGGGUUCUGAGAGGAAGGUCCCCCACAUUGGAACUGAGACACGGUCCAAACUCCUACGGGAGGCAGCAG
rnacentral:rRNA from 1 species